CAAACUUUCGUUCUAUUGAUUUUAACUUCUUUAGUCUUUUACUCUCGUACAAAAACCUAGGUAUUAAACCUGUAAAUUGAGACCAUAAAAAGAGUGAUUUUAUUUUUAAACGUAAUUAAACCAACUUAGUUUUGAUUCCUUCAUUCCGCUUACUUUACAUACCGAUACCUAAAUAAAUUAGCCAGACAUGCUAAACAGAUCUAAACAAUCAUCAUGCUUAAAU
rnacentral:lncRNA from 1 species